rnacentral:lncRNA from 1 species
AAAAGGAUCACUCUCCUUUUUUAUUUGAUCUCAGGGCUUUUGGCAAAAGAAGGACAAGUUUUUUUGUGUGUGUGGGAAAAAAGGCGUUUUGGAAAGUGCAAACCACUCCAGAAAGAGCCGCCUCCUCUAACUUCAGAACAUGAGCGGAGACCCGGGAUUCUUGAGGGAAGCACCAAUGCCUUCUCAUACCUCAGACCAGAGCUGGAAUGAGGGACAGGAAGAAAAAGCAGAGCGGGACUCUAGUUGGGAAGCAACGUGAACCUAAGAGAUGACAACUUCGUUUCCAGCAUCUGAUUUUGGAUCUUUCAGUCAUUCUCUCCUCUUAUCU